AUUGAACGCUGGCGGAAUGCUUUACACAUGCAAGUCGAACGGCAGCACGGACUUCGGUCUGGUGGCGAGUGGCGAACGGGUGAGUAAUGUAUCGGAACGUGCCCAGUCGUGGGGGAUAACGUAGUGAAAAUUACGCUAAUACCGCAUACGAUCUAUGGAUGAAAGCGGGGGAUCGCAAGACCUCGCGCGAAUGGAGCGGCCGAUAUCAGAUUAGGUAGUUGGUGGGGUAAAGGCCCACCAAGCCAACGAUCUGUAGCUGGUCUGAGAGGACGACCAGCCACACUGGAACUGGGACACGGUCCAGACUCCUACGGGAGGCAGCAGUGGGGAAUUUUGGACAAUGGGCGAAAGCCUGAUCCAGCCAUUCCGCGUGCAGGAUGAAGGCCCUCGGGUUGUAAACUGCUUUUGUACAGAACGAAAAGGUUUCUACUAAUACUAGGAGCUCAUGACGGUACUGUAAGAAUAAGCACCGGCUAACUACGUGCCAGCCGCCGCCGUAA
rnacentral:rRNA from 1 species